AGGAAAACUGUUAUGUGCCACUGCCGAGUUGGUGAGGACAAAGGAACACUUCCUUAAUGCUGAUGUGGUUUUAGAUCAAGAAACUGGAGAGGUUUAGAGGCUAGAAAAGAAGGCAUUUGAGAAACUCCAUCUUCCAACAUCUAGAAUGGCUGAAAAGCAAUGGAAAUAAAAACAGUGUUUACUGGGAGAUGCCAAGAGCCUGUUUGCCUAUCUGAAACAGAUGCUUCCUGUUUUUCAGCAUCUAAGGUGAUAUAUGUGACAAGGUGCCUGAUAUUAGCAUUUUAGUUCAGAUGUGGAACAAGCUUUUGAAGAGAAUCUCCUGACUAUCUCCAUUUGUUGCACUUGCAUCUGGGAACAUGUGAAGUGAAUUCUUUCACGUGAGCUAAACCAGAACAGAUCCUCUAGGACAGCAGGCAAUGACUCCAACAAUCAAGGAGCAGUCAGACUACAUGGAAGUGAAUCCCCAUAAAGUGUACAAGGUACAGAGGCCAAAUCAGCAGCUACCAAAGUACUGCUUUAUGAAGGGCUUCCUUUUAAACAUGGGAUCAAUUUUUGUUUUCAUGAUAUUCAGGUUUGGCUAAUAUACUCUACUGUAGGCAUUACAGGUACUGGUGUUGUGGUAGUUUUAUUAACCUGCUUCAGAUAUUCUCUAAUAGCCUUUUGUUUUACUGUGUUCAGUUUUCAAGCAGAGCUGUUUAUCUCCUGCUUUUGUCUGCUUUGCUGUUCUUCCCUUUACUGCUCCAGAUCACAUCCUUUAAUUGUAAACUUUGUGAGGCAGGACAACUUUUGAUUAUUUGCCUUUGUGUUCUUAAUCGAGCCAUUAUUAAGCAUAACAAACAUAUCUCCUGCUGAACCUUAAAAAGCAAUAAUUAUUUUAUUAUAAGUAGAUCUUGAAAUCCACCCCUUCAAGCGCAAACAUUUUCUUCCUGCUUUCUUCUUUUUUCACCUCUAGAAAAUAGACGAUAAUUUAAAGAUAGUAUGACAUUAAUCUUCCCUGUAGUUGUUAUUAUCACUGACAUAAUUACAAUGAGUUUUAUGUGUUAGUUCCUGUGAAAUAAAUGCUUGCAUACAUUUAACAAGUCAAACCUAUGUCAGUUCCUUUUCUAUUUGUUUUGUACC